rnacentral:rRNA from 1 species
UACGUAGGGGGCAAGCGUUGUCCGGAUUUAUUGGGCGUAAAGAGCGUGUAGGCGGCCAUUCAGGUCAGCUGUGAAAACUCGAGGCUCAACCUCGAGACGUCGGUUGAAACCGUUUGGCUAGAGUCCGGAGGAGGAGAGUGGAAUUCCCGGUGUAGCGGUGAAAUGCGCAGAUAUCGGGAAGAACACCCGUGGCGAAGGCGGCUCUCUGGGACGGUACUGACGCUGAGACGCGAAAGCGUGGGGAGCGAACAGG